AAAAUAGUUGUUCGGGGCUCAGUUGGCCACAGUUAUACUACGCCCACUACUUGUCAAGUGUUUCCUGUGAUAGCAGGUGAUGCAUGACAACCGAGCAGAGAGUAAUGUGUAUUAUCAGAACAGGGCUUUCUACAUCAGGAAACUGAGUUGGUGUAAUGGGGAUGAAGAAGAUGAAGAAGAGCGAAAAAUGGAAAGAGCAUGAUGAGGAACAACUGUAACAAUUGCUGUGUUGAAGCAGGGGUCUGUCAACACAACUAUGAACAAAGGCUGACACAAUAAUCACCGGCAUGUGACCUUGUAGAUUUAAAACUAGAU